rnacentral:rRNA from 1 species
UACGUAGGGUGCGAGCGUUGUCCGGAAUUAUUGGGCGUAAAGAGCUCGUAGGCGGUGUGUCGCGUCGGCCGUGAAAACCUGCAGCUUAACUGUGGGCUUGCGGUCGAUACGGGCAUCACUGGAGUUCGGCAGGGGAGACUGGAAUUCCUGGUGUAGCGGUGAAAUGCGCAGAUAUCAGGAGGGAACACCCGGUGGGCGAAAGGCGGGGUCUCUGGGCCCGAUACUGACG